UACAGAGGCCCCAAGCAUUACCCGGAAUUAUUGGGCGUAAAGGGUGCGUAGGUGGUCAUGUUAGUCGUUUGUUAAAAACCCGGGCCCAACCCGGGGAGUGCGGGCGAAACGGCAUGACUUGAGGGAGUGAGAGGUCUGUGGAACUCUAGGUGUAGGGGUAAAAUCCGUUGAUAUCUAGGGGAACACCGAAAGCGAAGGCAGCAGACUGGCACUUUCCUGACACUCAAGCACGAAAGCGUGGGUAGCGAAUGGG
rnacentral:rRNA from 1 species